CCUACGGGUGGCUGCAGUGGGGAAUAUUGGGCAAUGGGCGCAAGCCUGACCCAGCAACGCCGCGUGAAGGAAGAAGGCUUUCGGGUUGUAAACUUCUUUUAAGAGGGAAGAGCAGAAUACGGUACCUCUUGAAUAAGCCACGGCUAACUACGUGCCAGCAGCCGCGGUAAUACGUAGGUGGCAAGCGUUGUCCGGAUUUACUGGGUGUAAAGGGCGUGUAGCCGGGCUGACAAGUCAGAUGUGAAAUUCCGGGGCUCAACCCAGGACCUGCAUUUGAAACUGGUGGUCUUGAGGAUCGGAGAGGCAGGUAGAAUUCCUGGUGUAGCGGUGAAAUGCGUAGAUAUUAGGAGGAACACCGGUGGCGAAGGCGGCCCGCUGGACUGCAACUGACGUUGAGGCCCGAAAGCGUGGGGAGCAAACAGGAUUAGAUACCCUAGUAGUC
rnacentral:rRNA from 1 species